UACGUAGGGUCCGAGCGUUGUCCGGAAUUACUGGGCGUAAAGAGUGUGUAGGCGGUGCUCCAAGUCUGGUGUGAAAUCUCCCGGCUCAACUGGGAGGGUGCGCUAGAAACUGGAAUGCUAGAGGAUGGGAGAGGUAAGCGGAAUUCCUGGUGUAGCGGUGAAAUGCGUAGAUAUCAGGAGGAACACCUGUGGUGUAGACAGCUUACUGGACCAUUUCUGACGCUGAGACACGAAAGCGUGGGUAGCAAACAGG
rnacentral:rRNA from 1 species